CUACAGAGGGUGCGAGCGUUAAUCGGAAUUACUGGGCGUAAAGCGCGCGUAGGCGGCUACUUAAGUCAGAUGUGAAAUCCCCGGGCUCAACCUGGGAACUGCAUUUAAAACUGGCGAACUAGAGUUGAGUAGAGGGGAGUGGAAUUUCAGGUGUAGCGGUGAAAUGCGUAGAGAUCUGAAGGAACACCAGUGGCGAAGGCGACUCCCUGGACUCGAACUGACGCUGAGGUACGAAAGCGUGGGUAGCAAACGGGAUUAGAAACCCCAGUAGUCC
rnacentral:rRNA from 1 species